rnacentral:ncRNA from 1 species
AUGCCGAUUUGUUCUCACAUACACCAAAAUUUUGAGCGUUCUAGGACUUCAGGACCGCCGAUGCGGUGUGUACACAUUGGGACUGAGACACGGCCAAAUUCUUUUAAAGGCAGAGUGACGAAUAUUGGACAAUGAGCGAAAGUUAUCCAGCAUGAAGAAGGAUUAUAGGUUGUACAGCUCUUGCAUUAAAGAAGAAAAAGACAGUACUUAAAAUGAAAAUUCCGGCUAUUUCGUGCCAGCAGGGCGGUAAUACGAGUGGAGCGAGCAU